CCGUCAAUUCAUUUAAGUUUCAUUCUUGCGAACGUACUCCCCAGGUGGCUAACUUAUCACUUUCGCUUAGUCUCUGAACCCGAAAGCCCAAAAACGAGUUAGCAUCGUUUACGGCGUGGACUACCAGGGUAUCUAAUCCUGUUCGCUCCCCACGCUUUCGUCCAUCAGCGUCAGUUAAGACAUAGUGACCUGCCUUCGCAAUUGGUGUUCUAAGUAAUAUCUAUGCAUUUCACCGCUACACUACUUAUUCCAGCCACUUCUACCUUACUCAAGACCCGCAGUAUCAAUGGCAGUUUCACAGUUAAGCUGUGAGAUUUCACCACUGACUUACGGAUCCGCCUACGGACCCUUUAAGCCCAAUAAAUCCGGAUAACGCUUGCACCCUCCGUAUUACCGCGGC
rnacentral:misc_RNA from 1 species